rnacentral:misc_RNA from 1 species
AUAGAAUCUAGUCCCCAUAUUAUCAAGACAAAUCUGAUAGAAACUAAGAAAAACGCUAAUCCUAAAUCCCAAAGAACCACCCAGAAUGGCCUCUUGAAACUCAAGUAAAUGAUAAGCCUUUUACAUUUGAAAUCUGAUCUUCAAUUCAUACUGCAUUAGCCCUUGGCUAAUAUCCUUAAAGCUACAAGGCAAGAAUGGCACAGGUGGAUUAUACCAUCAACUCAUCUACAAACAAAAACCAAUUCCUUUAACACAGGCUCCUUCAAAAGUGUCACUGCAAUACCUGGACUAUGAAGGGUAUCCUCAA